AGUCUGCAAACAAGAAACGAAGGACAACUUCCAAACUUCGUUAGACAUCGGUCUGCGUAUUUAGAGGUACAGCGUCCUCUUUCACCAGUCUGCAGCCCGUUUGGACCUUGGAAACGAGCCGUGGGGGCUGUUUGGCAGACCGGGUGGUCAGACGGAUCGCUUAAUUAGUGAAAUGGACCGAAAAACCAGCAGGCACUGUGGGGCUCCAGGAUCAAACGCAUCAUUCCCGUCGUGCGUUUACGAGCAGCGCGGACCGCAGCGAUGACAUUUUGGGACCUGGGACCACGCUUUCCCCGCCUGCCUACUUCUGAAGCUG